rnacentral:rRNA from 1 species
AUUGAACGCUGGCGGCAGGCCUAACACAUGCAAGUCGAACGAGUAGCGGACGGGUGAGCAAUGUCUGAGAAACUGCCCGAUGGAGCGGGAUAACGACUGUAAACAGUAGCUACUACCGCAUACCAUCGUAUGUGCCAAUAUGGGAUAAGCUAGUCGGUGGGGUAACGGCUAACGUAGGAGACGAUCCCUAGCUGGUCUGAGCGGAUGACACGCCACACUGGAACUGAGACACGGUCCAGACUCCUACGGGAGGCAGCAGUGGGGAAUAUUGCAAAAUGGGCGAAAGCCUGAUGCAGCCAUGCCGCGUGAGUGAAGAAGGCCUUCGGGUUGUAAAGUACUUUCAGCAAGGAGGCGUUACUCGCAUAGGAAGCCCCGGCUAACGCCGUGCCAGCAGCCGCGGUAAUUC